CUUCACCGAGCCGAGCAGCAGCGGCCGGCCCUCCGGCCGGUUCCGCCCGUACGUGGCGAGCAGCGCCUGUGCCUC
rnacentral:antisense_RNA from 1 species